CCUACGGGUGGCUGCAGUGGGGAAUAUUGGGCAAUGGGCGCAAGCCUGACCCAGCAAUGCCGCGUGAAGGAAGAAGGCUUUCGGGUUGUAAACUUCUUUGACAGGGGAAGAGCAGAAGACGGUACCCUGAAAACAAGCCACGGCUAACUACGUGCCAGCAGCCGCGGUAAUACGUAGGUGGCAAGCGUUGUCCGGAUUUACUGGGUGUAAAGGGAGCGUAGACGGUUAUGUAAGUCUGGAGUGAAAGCCCGGGGCCCAACCCCGGGACUGCUUUGGAAACUGUGUAACUGGAGUACAGGAGGGGCAGGCGGAAUUCCUGGUGUAGCGGUGAAAUGCGUAGAUAUCAGGAGGAACACCGGCGGCGAAGGCGGCCUGCUGGACUGAAACUGACGUUGAGGCUCGAAAGCGUGGGGAGCAAACAGGAUUAGAUACCCGAGUAGUC
rnacentral:rRNA from 1 species